UACGUAGGGUGCGAGCGUUAAUCGGAAUUACUGGGCGUAAAGCGUGCGCAGGCGGUUCGUUGUGUCGGCGGUGAAAGCCCCGGGCUUAACCUGGGAAUGGCCGUUGAAACUGGCGAACUGGAGUGUGGCAGAGGGGGGUGGAAUUCCGCGUGUAGCAGUGAAAUGCGUAGAUAUCUGGAGGAACAUCAGUGGCGAAGGCGGCUUCCUGGUCCAACACUGACACUGAGGUGCGAAAGCGUGGGGAGCAAACAGG
rnacentral:rRNA from 1 species